GGAUGUGAGAGCAAUCUGGCUGUGACAUCUGUCACCCCAUUGAUUGGCAGCAUUGAUUCGGCUUAUCUGGCUGGCUAGGCGUGUGUCCCCUUCCUCAACUCACCAUUCCAUGUGUGUCCCUCCCAAAGCUGCGCUCUCGGUCGAAGAGGACAUCCCAGAUAUAGAAGAAGUGUACUGCCAUAUA
rnacentral:snRNA from 1 species